rnacentral:rRNA from 1 species
UACGUAGGGUGCAAGCGUUAUUCGGAAUUACUGGGCGUAAAGCGUGCGUAGGCGGUUUUGUAAGUCUGUCGUGAAAUCCCCGGGCUCAACCUGGGAAUUGCGAUGGAGACUGCAAGGCUAGAAUCUGGCAGAGGGGGGUAGAAUUCCACGUGUAGCAGUGAAAUGCGUAGAGAUGUGGAGGAACACCGAUGGCGAAGGCAGCCCCCUGGGAUAACACUGACGCUCAUGCACGAAAGCGUGGGGAGCAAACAGG